rnacentral:rRNA from 1 species
CUGGUUGAUCCUGCCGGCGGCCACUGCUAUCAAGUUCCGACUAAGCCAUGCGAGUCAAGGUAUCGUAAGAUGCCGGCAAACUGCUCAGUAACACGUGGAUAAUCUAACCUUGAGUAAGGGAUAACUUCGGGAAACUGAAGGUAAUACCUUAUAAUUGCUUAAAACUGGAAUGUUUUUGCAAUAAAAGUUACGACGCUCAAGGAUGAGUCUGCGACCUAUCAGGUAGUAGGUGGUGUAAUGGACCACCUAGCCUCAGACGGGUACGGGCCCUGGGAGGGGUAGCCCGGAGAUGGACUCUGAGACAUAAGUCCAGGCCCUACGGGGCGCAGCAGGCGCGAACACUGUGCAAUGCGCGAAAGCGCGACACGGGGAGCUUGAGUGUCUUGGCAUAGCCAAGACUUUUCUCAUUCCUAAAAAGCAUGAGGAAUAAGUGCUGGGUAAGACGGGUGCCAGCCGCCGCGGUAACACCCGCAGCACGAGUAGUGGUCACUUUUAUUGAGCCUAAAGCGUUCGUAGCCGGUUUUGUAAAUCUUCAGAUAAAGCCUGAAGCUUAACUCCAGAAAGUCUGAAGAGACUGCAAGACUUGAGAUCGGGUGAGGUUAAACGUACUUUCAGGGUAGGGGUAAAAUCCUGUAAUCCCGGAAGGACGACCAGUGGCGAAAGCGUUUAACUAGAACGAAUCUGACGGUAAGGAACGAAGGCUAGGGUAGCAAACCGGAUUAGAUACCCGGGUAGUCCUAGCUGUAGACAUUGCCCAUUUGAUGUUGCUUUUCCGUUGAGGGAAGGCAGUGUCGGAGCGAAGGUGUUAAAUGGGCCGCUUGGGAAGUAUGGUCGCAAGACUGAAACUUAAAGGAAUUGGCGGGGGGGCACCGCAACGGGAGGAAUGUGCGGUUUAAUUGGAUUCAACGCCGGAAAACUCACCGGGAACGACCUGUGCAUGAGAGUCAACCUGACGAGCUUACUCGAUAGCAGGAGAGGUGGUGCAUGGCCGUCGUCAGCUCGUACCGUAGGGCGUUCACUUAAGUGUGAUAACGAGCGAGACCCACAUCUUUAAUUGCAAAUGUAUAUGAGAAUAUGCAUGCACUUUAGAGAAACCGCCAGCGCUAAGCUGGAGGAAGGAGUGGUCGACGGCAGGUCAGUACGCCCCGAAUUUCCCGGGCUACACGCGCAUUACAAAGAACGGGACAAUACGUUGCAACCUCGAAAGAGGAAGCUAAUCGCGAAACCCGUCCAUAGUUAGGAUUGAGGGCUGUAACUCGCCCUCAUGAAUCUGGAUUCCGUAGUAAUCGCGGGUCAACAACCCGCGGUGAACAUGCCCCUGCUCCUUGCACACACCGCCCGUCAAACCAUCCGAGUUGGUGUUGGAUGAGGUUUAAUUCGAGAGGGUUAAAUCAAAUCUGAUGUCGGUGAGGAGGGUUAAGUCGUAUCAAGGUA